rnacentral:rRNA from 1 species
UACGUAGGGGGGCUAGCGUUGUCCGGAUUUAUUGGGCGUAAAGAGCGUGUAGGCGGCCAUGUAGGUCCGGUGUGAAAACUCGAGGCUUAACCUCGAGAUGUCAUCGGAAACCAUUUGGCUAGAGUCCGGAAGAGGAGAGUGGAAUUCCUGGUGUAGCGGUGAAAUGCGCAGAUAUCAGGAAGAACACCCGUGGCGAAGGCGGCUCUCUGGGACGGUACUGACGCUGAGACGCGAAAGCGUGGGGAGCGAACAGG